CCUACGGGAGGCAGCAGUAGGGAAUCUUCCGCAAUGGACGAAAGUCUGACGGAGCAACGCCGCGUGAACGAUGAAGGCCUUCGGGUCGUAAAGUUCUGUUGUUAGGGAAGAACAAGUGCUAGUUAAAUAAGCUGGCACCUUGACGGUACCUAACCAGAAAGCCACGGCUAACUACGUGCCAGCAGCCGCGGUAAUACGUAGGUGGCAAGCGUUGUCCGGAAUUAUUGGGCGUAAAGCGCGCGCAGGCGGUUUCUUAAGUCUGAUGUGAAAGCCCCCGGCUCAACCGGGGAGGGUCAUUGGAAACUGGGAAACUUGAGUGCAGAAGAGGAAAGUGGAAUUCCAAGUGUAGCGGUGAAAUGCGUAGAGAUUUGGAGGAACACCAGUGGCGAAGGCGACUUUCUGGUCUGUAACUGACGCUGAGGCGCGAAAGCGUGGGGAGCAAACAGGAUUAGAUACCCUGGUAGUCCACGCUGUAAACGAUGAGUGCUAAGUGUUAGAGGGUUUCCGCCCUUUAGUGCUGAAGUUAACGCAUUAAGCACUCCGCCUGGGGAUACGGUCGCAAGACUGAAACUCAAAGGAUUGACGGCNGAGAGUGCGACGACGACGACGAGGGAGAGG
rnacentral:rRNA from 1 species